rnacentral:rRNA from 1 species
GUAGGUGGCAAGCGUUGUCCGGAAUUAUUGGGCGUAAAGCGCGCGCAGGCGGUUCUUUAAGUCUGAUGUGAAAGCCCACGGGCUCAACCGUGGAGGGUCAUUGGAAACUGGAGAACUUGAGUACAGAAGAGGAAAGCGGAAUUCCACGUGUAGCGGUGAAAUGCGUGAGAUGUGGAGGAACACCAGUGGCGAAGGCGGCUUUCUGGUCUGUAACUGACGCCGAGGCGCGAAAGCGUGGGGAGCAAACAGGAUUAGAUACCCUGGUAGUCCACGCCGUAAACGAUGAGUGCUAAGUGUUAGGGGGUUUCCGCCCCUUAGUGCUGCAGCUAACGCAUUAAGCACUCCGCCUGGGGAGUACGGCCGCAAAGGCUG